AGGCGUCCGCGGCCUCGAAACGGGUGAGGGGCGUCAGAACUGGGUGGAUCCAGAGGGCUUGUGCUUCACUGGCCUGCUUUGAGAGCCUUUGGAUUAGGUUUCUGGAGAGUUUCCCCUUCCCUGAGCCCCAACUUUGAGUCUAGCUCCUGGGAUCAGUGUGCCCCGGGACUGUGCCGCGAGUGCCUGAAAAGGACCCCCUAGCCCUGCACUCUCUAGGCGGAGUGGGUAAGGCAUUCUCGGGAAUGCUUCUAAUCCGUAAACAGAUGACGGGGCUUCCAGACCUGGCUGAGCGCCGGGGUCCCUUAGGGUGCAGUUUUCAGCGAAGCGCAGCUUUAAAAUAUGGACCUCGGGCUCCAUUCUGAUUUAGGAAUCGGAAAUCCCUGUUGAACUCUGGAGUUGGCAUUCGUAAGGUAUGGGAGGGGCGGGGGUGGUCCGAGCGCCAGGCAGCUCCGCGAGCCGCAGAAGCAGGGGUGAGGACAAGCUCUGAGAGAGGGGUGCGGGCGCCGCCUCCCACUGCGCGGUGAAGGCCGCCCGGACCUCCCUCCCCGCCCUCCCCCUCCCCCGACUCUGCGUCCUAACUCGGCUGGGGCGCCGCCAGACUGAAAUUUGGAAGAGCUGACGCCCGUUCCUGCCCUCCGGCGUCACCGCAGGAUCCCGGCGAAGUAUUGUACCUCUGUGUUCUGGGACGGGGACCAAGUGCCUCUGGCGUCUGGGGCACACCGGAGUCCCUCUCUAGCUAGCCUCAUCACCUCUGCGUCCUAGGACUUGGGAAUCUGCCCUUGAAAGUCUGGGCAUCCUUGCUCCUAGCUGGUGGUUUUGGAAGUUGAGCCUGAAUGGGAAUUGCCUGGAGAGGCCUGUGAAAACACAGAUUGCUGGUUCUUACUCCCAGAGUUUAUGACUCAGCAGAUCUGGAAUGGGACCCAAUAAUAUGCCUUUCUGCCAAGUUCCCAGAAGAUACUGAUGCUGCCAGUGAGGGAACCACACUUUGAGAACCGUUGCUUCAGCCUGCCUUUUCUCAGCUUGCCUUUGGAGAAGACAGUCGGGAGGGAAAAGAUUUAAAAUUAAAAUAAAAACAUUCUGUGGGCUCCUGAAACCAUCAUGGGCCCUAGGCCCUGUACCUGUUGUGACAAAUGCUGCUCCUGGCACACCUGGGAGGAUGGGGAUACUAGGUGUGCCUUCUCCUGGCUGCGGCUCCUAAGCCUGGAAACCUGGAGAGAGGUUUGGGACCAGGAUAUUAAUCCAAACAUGUGAGGAUGGGGCCCUCUUGGCUCUGGACAGGGUUAAGGGCCCUGGGCUGAAGGAAAAGCUGGGACCUGGCUUUUAAUGGAGGUGAGGGUUUCUUGAACCCCUGGGAGAGAGCUCACCAGAACUCUGGGAAGUGGAGACAGUCAGAAAUACAGAUUUAAGGUUCCGGAGUCAUCUACCGACACUUCCCCCCACCCCCAUAUGAAAUAUUCUUUAGUACAAAACACAGAAGAUAAAUAUGCAAAUAUAAUGUUAAUGUG